UACGUAGGGGAGCAAGCGUUGUUCGGAUUUACUGGGCGUAAAGGGCGCGUAGGCGGCAAUUCAAGUCAUCUGUGAAAUCUCCGGGCUUAACUCGGAACUGUCAGAUGAUACUGCUUUGCUAGAGUGCAGAAGGGCAAUCGGAAUUCUUGGUGUAGCGGUGAAAUGCGUAGAUAUCAAGAGGAACACCUGAGGUGAAGACGGGUUGCUGGGCUGACACGUGACGCUGAGGCGCGAAAGCCAGGGGAGCAAACGGGG
rnacentral:rRNA from 1 species